AGAGUUUGAUCCUGGCUCAGGAUGAACGCUAGCGGCAGGCUUAAUACAUGCAAGUCGUGGGGCAGCAUGACUGUAGCAAUACAGUUGAUGGCGACCGGCAAACGGGUGCGGAACACGUACACAACCUUCCUUUGAGUGGGGAAUAGCCCGGGGAAACCCGGAUUAAUACCCCGUAACAUAAUGAAGUGGCAUCACUUUAUUAUUAUAGCAGCAAUGCGCUUUAAGAUGGGUGUGCGACUGAUUAGGCAGUUGGCGGGGUAACAGCCCACCAAACCUACGAUCAGUAACUGGUGUGAGAGCACGACCAGUCACACGGGCACUGAGACACGGGCCCGACUCCUACGGGAGGCAGCAGUAAGGAAUAUUGGUCAAUGGACGCAAGCCUGAUCCAGCCAUGCCGCGUGGAUGAUGAAGGCCCUAGGGUUGUAAAGUCCUUUCGGCGGGGAAGAUAAUGACGUACCCGCAGAAGAGCCCCGU
rnacentral:rRNA from 1 species